rnacentral:tRNA from 1 species
GGGCCCAUCGUCUAUCGGCUAGGACGGCACCCUCACACGGUGCAGGGCCAGGUUCGACUCCUGGUGGGCCCA